rnacentral:rRNA from 1 species
UACAGAGGGGGCGAGCGUUGUUCGGAAUUACUGGGCGUAAAGGGCGCGUAGGCGGCCUUCUAAGUCGAACGUGAAAUCCCCGGGCUCAACCCGGGAACUGCGUCCGAUACUGGGAGGCUUGAAUCCGGGAGAGGGAUGUGGAAUUCCAGGUGUAGCGGUGAAAUGCGCAGAUAUCUGGAGGAACACCGGUGGCGAAGGCGGCAUCCUGGACCGGUAUUGACGCUGAGGCGCGAAAGCCAGGGGAGCAAACGGG